CUCGGCUCUCGCAUCGAUGAAGAACGUUGCAUCGAUGAAGAACGCAGCGAAAUGCGAUACUUGGUGUGAAUUGCAGAAUCCCGUGAACCAUCGAGUCUUUGAACGCAAGUUGCGCCCGAAGCCGUCAGGCCGAGGGCACGUCUGCCUGGGCGUCACGCAUCGCGUCGCCCCCCCUUCCCGCGACC
rnacentral:rRNA from 1 species